UACAGAGGCCUCGAGCGUUAGGCGGAAUCACUGGGCUUAAAGCGUGUGUAGGCGGACUUCUAAGUGCCUUGUGAAAUCCCACGGCUCACCCGUGGAACUGCUGGGCAUACUGGGAGUCUUGAGCCACCUAGGGGCGAGCGGAACAAAUGGUGGAGCGGUGAAAUGCGUAGAUAUCAUUUGGAACGCCAACGGAGAAAUCAGCUCGCUGGGGGUGUGCUGACGCUGAGACACGAAAGCGUGGGGAGCAAACAGG
rnacentral:rRNA from 1 species